rnacentral:lncRNA from 1 species
AAUAUUCUAGAAUGUCGUAGAACAUGGAGGUUGAUGCCUAUAAAUAGGGGAAGACCUCCUCAUUUGUAUGAUGUACAAAAGGAGUGAAGCAAAGUGUGUACCAAAGUGAUCCCUUGUGUAAUAAAAGUUGAAGAAUUACAAAAGUCUCUCUCCAUAUAGCUACAUAUAAUAAACCUUCCAAACUACCUCCAUUUCUUCAUUUAUCAACUAAACAAAAACUCUUUCCUUCUUAUAUUUAAAGGUCUUCUACCUUUAAAAUGUUCUCCUACA